UACGUAGGGUGCAAGCGUUAAUCGGAAUUACUGGGCGUAAAGCGUGCGCAGGCGGUUAUGUAAGACAGGUGUGAAAUCCCCGGGCUUAACCUGGGAACUGCAUUGUGACUGCAUAGCUAGAGUACGGUAGAGGGGGAUGGAAAUUCCGCGUGUAGCAGUGAAAUGCGUAGAUAUGCGGAGGAACACCGAUGGCGAAGGCGGCUCUCUGGAACGCAACUGGACGCUGAAGACGCGAAAGCGUGGGGAGCAAACAGG
rnacentral:rRNA from 1 species